UUAGAAGGUUUGGACUGGGAUCUUGGGACUCUGCACCUACCCACACUGCCCCUCGCCCUCUGGCAGGGCUGCCCUGGGUCUUCUAUGCUGAAGCCCACUGUGCUGUCCUUUCUUUUCAGGGGCUAGACACAGGCCCCCUGUGUGGGACUCCAGACUCCUCUCUGCCCUGUCCCCAACCUGAAAGGGAAACCUCUCUUUCCCAUCACUGCAUUCCAAAUCACUCUACUCCCUGUCAAAUGAAAUCUUGUGAGACUGACUUUUGAAACAAACAAUGAGGAAUACUCCUACCAUUGUGUUUCUCCCUAGAAUGAAGCCAAAAUCUGGGAUCUGCUUGAUGCAAGAUAAGAGGAAAGGGGGAAGUAAAAGGAGAGGGGAGAAAAGUUAAUAUACUGUGUAUUAUUCAAUCACACUUGCUUUCAGAAGGAGUUACAAUUCCUGUUGUAGCUGGUGACCAGUAGCACCGAUUUUCUGUUUAUCUUUUAAGCUUGGCUUAGAGUUUGUAAUUUGUUUUAGUCAUUUUAAAGCAUUCCCCCCUUCACAGAAAAUGUCUUAUAACAAAGUAAUCUCAAAUGAGUAUAUAUUUGAAGUAUUCUCUGGACAAACAGAUCAAUCUUAGAUAUUGAUCAGAAUAUUUAAUUAAGCAGAAUUAUGCUUUGGAGCCAUUCAGGUUUCUCUGCUACCUAACAAGUCCUAUACCAUCUUUAAGAUGCCCUGUCUUACAGGAAGCCUGCCUUGACUGACAAAAUGCAAACUGAUCCUCACACUCUCUUAAUUCCUAUCAAUUUUGUGGUAAUUUCUUGUACUCUUGAACCCAAUUAUAUACAGUCUUACUGCCAGCUCUUUACCUCCCCAGAGCACAUUGCUCAAAGCUACCUAACUCUACUGUGCAAAACUUUGAGGGCCGUGAACAUGACCUAGUUGUUCCAUCAUUUUCCCAGGGCCUCAUACAUCACAGGGUUCCAUAAAUAUUUAUUCAAUGAAUGAAUGGAUUAUACAAUCUUAACCAGUUGCUAUUGCCAUUAGCUAUUUCUCCUAUUUUCCUCAGCAAUAAUUCACUGGGAAAAAAUGUUUGGGGUUCAUAUUCGCUCACGGAAAUAAUGAAAAGGCCCGUUACUUUUCUAUGAAAUCAAAUAACUGAAGAACAAAAUGUUAUUUAAGGUAUUGAUUAAUGUUCUAUAUAAAAUACUGAAACGCACAGCCAUAAAUUAUGCUGGCAUUAUGUGUAUUUCUAUUUCUUAUGUUUCCAACUAAGGCUGUUGAUGCUAGAAUGUUAAAAAACGUUCUUCAUUUCAAAAUAAAUUCGUAUCUCAUUGAGGUCCUGUGAUUGUUUUUUGCUUCAAGCAUUUGCAAAACAAUUCAAAAGAGCCAUCAAUAUAGGCACUUUACAGACAACAGCAUCAAUUAUUAUGUUGGAAAAUAUUUUAAUAUUAUCACAUUCCAAGUGAGGAAAAAUCUUUACUUAUCCUGCAUGAUUCCAAAUAAUGAAUAAUGACCUUUAAAAUUCAUUUAAUAAACAGUUGUCUUAAUAAUAACUUGUGUGACAAUGUUUUUUUAGUUUUAGAUUCUUACAUCUUUUUAAAUAUAUUUCUAAGAACAGGUCAUCCAAAAUUUGAGAUAUUUCACAUGAAGAACAUGUAUGGAGGCUGACCUGUAUGCCAGUUCAGAUCCGUAGAGCCAGGUGUGCACUGCAUUUUAAAACUGGGAUAGUUUGGUUGGAAGAGUAUCUGCGCCACUCUGGCUUCUUUGGUUGAUGCAAGUUCAUGGAGGUGACCAGAUAAAAAGCUGCCAUUGUGGUUGGUAUUCUGUCUUCAGAAAUCUCCCAACAUAUUUUCCAUUUGUCUGGACUGCUAUCCUUUGUCCUGGACUCCUGUCACACACUGCAUCCUCCUGACUUCCCCUCUAGCUCACCCCAAAUUUGGGCUCCCUUCUGCUCCGACUCUCUGCAGAGCCCCUUUGCUCAACACCACAGUUUUGGAUUUGCUCUGUAUUCAAUGACUAUCUUCCAAGUUCCUGCCACGUCUAUUCACUGUGCCAAGCCCAUGAAAUUAAUGAGAGAAAGAGAGCUCCCUCUAGGAACUCUCGAUGUGGGGAAGAUGACAAAUGUCAAAAACCGGGGGACUGUUCUUACCAGGGGAUCAUUGGAAGGCCAUCUAAUCCAGUCAUGGAGUUGCUGAAAGGCUUCUAGAAAGCUGGUGCUCUUGUGGAAUGAUGGCCAAGAAAUAGCAUAUGUGAGACCUCUCUAGGGACUCUCGGAACUAAUUGGGGAGAGACUGUAGGGACUGGAGGCCCACAGAGAAGCUAGGGCAGGGCCAGAUAAAUAUUGUUUUAUGGUCAUUGUUAUGAUCCACUCCUAUGAGGAUAAGCAAGAAGCCCUUUCUAAUACAAUUAUUUUAUAUCCAGGUACUUUUGAGUUCUCUAAGAAAUACAGGCCCAUUUACUAUCAUUUUGGAAAAUUCUUUUGAUGGUCAAUAAAGUGUCAGAUUACCUUGCUGCUGUUACUCUAAGUGACUAAUGCUACUUUAUUCUAAAUACUGUACCCUCAUGAAAAAAUGAGAGGAAAAGGCAAAUAAUACCUUACUACUACUCUGAAAAUAAUUCUGACUUCAUGGACUCCCUGAAAGAAUCUCAGAGUCCUACUUGGAUCACUAGGCCAUAUUUUGAGAACUGCUAACAGGGAAUGUAACCUUAAAAUAGAUUUUAAGAAUGUGCCUGGAUUAGUAGGGAAGGAAUUAUUUGAUUGAUGAAUGAUGCCUGCCUUGGGCACAGGAGCAAAGCAUAAUCUCAUAUUUCCUAAGUAUACAGACACUCAAACUCUAUCUACAGUAAUACGAUUGGUUUUUAAAUAAGCAUUCCAUUAUCUAUACAUACAAAUGAAAGCUGUCCUUCAUAGUAGUCAUGUUUAGAAUCUAGUUAUUUCAACAACUAUCACUGUGAUUAAACUAUUGGAGUUCACUGUAAAUCCGAAAUACAAAUCAAACUCAUUACUUUAUAGGCAAAUUUGGUUUUGACCAAAAUGAUACUUAGGAGUUGGAUAAGUUACUUACGCUGCCAGUCUUGGCUCCAAAUGACUUCCGCUUCCUGAACAAAUUAAAUCUGCCUUGAAGGAUGAAAAUGUGUGAUUAAUAAGGUAAUAAGAUUAUCCCACCAAGGCUGGGCACGGUGGCUCACACCUGUAAUCCCAGCACUUUGGGAGACUGAGUUGCAUGGAUCACUUGAGGUCAGGAAUUCAAGACCAGCUUGACCAACAUGGUGAAACCCCGUCUCUACUAAAAAUACAAAAAAAAAGUUAGCUGGGCAUGGUGGGCACAUGCCUGUAGUCCCAGCUACUUGGGAGGCUGAGGCGGGAGAAUCACUUGAACCCGGGAGGUGGAGGUUGCAGUGAGCUAAGAUUGUGCCAUUGCACUGCAGCCUAGGCAACAAGAGUGAAACUCCGUCUCAAAAAAAAAAAAAAAAAAAAAGAUUAUCCCACCAAUAAUUUGAGUUUCUAUAAUGUAUCAGGUACCCUGUUGAGUGCUAAGGAUGGAAAUGAAAGGCACAAUCUCUGCCCUGAGGCAUUUAUAAUAUGCACGGAACAGACGAGGAAACUAGCACUUAAAACCCAGCAUAAGCAGCACUAUCACUGAGGGGAGCUCAAGCUGUGUUGAAAGCAGCUAACUCCAAGGGGAUGGAGAGAAGUAAGGAAAGACUUCCUGGAGCUACCUCAUCAGCUGAGUUCUGAGGACUUGAAUGAGUCAGGUAGUAGUGGAAUGGGGGAAGUGGCGCAUCAGUGAGGACGACUUCCAGAGGGAUAGCAGGUGCAAAGACAUGAAGAUAGAAGAACUGUAGACCACUUACACUUGCUCUGACACACAGUUGGGAAUACACCUUUGAAACCAUGGCAUGUCUCCCUCACAAAAAGAAGAGGAGAGACGGUGAAGACAAGUCAGAAAGAACCACAUCACAUUCUCUGGAAAAGUCAUGAAAGCAUAUGUCCCCUGCAGCCACAUGGCCUAGUGAGAUACUCAGGCUUGGAGCUGAUUAACUUGGGUUGGAGGUUUCCUAUUCUCUUUGAGCCUCAAAGUUUUCAUCUGUAAAAUGAAGAUAUUCAAUUUAUGGUUGCAUUUGCAAGGGUAAAUGGGAUGUUUGUAAACUGGUAGAUAACAGGUGCUCAAAAAUGGUCAGCAUUUUGUUUCUGCUCAAUAUUAAUAAGCCCGUGGCUGGCAGAUGCAUAGCAAGAGCAAAACCAAACACAGCAUGAAAUGUCGGCAUCCAAGGGGUUGUUCAUUUUAUACUGGAAGACCUGGCGCGAUGUCUAAACUUAGUGUUUCACCAAGAAAAUGUGAUUUAUCAUGCUGGUGUAGUCCCGGCAAUGUACAAUCAAGAUCAGGUUGAAACAGGGAAAUGAAAGUAAAUGUGCAGCAACAAUUCUGUUUUUUUUUUUAAGGUUUCUCUUCAUGGAUUGCUUUGCGCUCCUCCUCCUGCAAGACAGUGAGUCUCCACAGGCCCAUGAAUGUCAUAAGUGAGUGCAAGCUUGAAGAAGCACCUAUCCUGUGCUCAGGACAAAAUAUCUGUGGUCCAGAGCAGAGCUCCCAACCCAGCUACUAUGAACCACGCUAGGCCCCAGAAAAGAAAGGAAAACAGAAGAGACAUUGGAUUGGAUCUUCCAGAAGGUCUUUGUUGCAAUUUUUCUCCAUCAUUGAAAAAAAAAUUACAUCAUCAAAUAAAGACAAUAGCAGCACAGCUUA
rnacentral:lncRNA from 1 species